ACACUCGUAGCUCAGUUAGCAGAGCAUUGGCUAAUAUCCCAAAAAUCGCGGGUUCGAUUCCCUGGACCAGCGUA
rnacentral:tRNA from 1 species